AUAAAUUAGAGAAAAAAAUAUAAAUUCAAUACUUUAAGUUAUAUCGAAGAGUUAGAGGCAUGCUUAAACUAUUGAGACGAUCUAUUACAUGUUUAUAUUAUUUAAAAGUGAAAUUAAUAUUACCUUCAAAGCUAACAUGGAAAUAAAAUUAAAUAAAAAAAUAAAAAAGACGUGUUUAAGUGAAAAAACAUAAUUUUUUUCCAUCCCCCACCCUUCUCUUUCGUGCUACCCUUACCUUUCUUCUUUCUCCAUUUUUUUCUCCUCACAAACACUCUUUUGUUAUAGCUAACCUGAAAAAUAAUUAUUUUUUAUGAUAAAUUAUCGAUGGAAAAUAGAAAUAACAUUACACGAUAAAAAUCAUCGCAAAGAUCGAAGUUGUUCAAAAUAUCUGCAAAUAGAUAUUUGGUUGUGGGAAGGUUACGUUGGUGAAUUUGAUUGUCGGUGGUGAAAUCAAUGAUGGUGGAGAAGUGAGCUCGAUGAUAAUAGCAACAAUGGUAGUGAUUUAGUGGCGGGUUUGAUGGUGAAUAGGGAAGAAGAAGAAAUUGGUGACAUGGAUUUUUUUUUUAAAAAUCUGACGUAAUUAUUGAUAUGACAGUGACAUGGUGAUGAAGCACUUUCUCAUCAUGUGACUGAUUGUAUGUGCGUCAGGGUUGAAAUAAGUUCACUAAUUCAGGUGUGUAAUAGGUCGUCACAAUAGUAUAAGCGUGUAAGUGACUUUUCGUAACAAGUUACACGAGAGAAUUUAUGGCUUUUCCAAUAAAUUAAUAAAUUCAUCCGUCCGCUUUUAUUUGUCUA